AUACGGAGGGGGUUAGCGUUGUUCGGAAUUACUGGGCGUAAAGCGUACGUAGGCGGACUGGAAAGUUGGGGGUGAAAUCCCGGGGCUCAACCCCGGAACUGCCUCCAAAACUUCCAAUCUAGAGAUCGAGAGAGGUGAGUGGAAUUCCAAGUGUAGAGGUGAAAGUCGUAGAUAUUUGGAGGAACACCAGUGGCGAAGGCGGCUCACUGGCUCGAUACUGACGCUGAGGUACGAAAGCGUGGGGAGCAAACAGGAUUAGAAACCCUAGUAGUCC
rnacentral:rRNA from 1 species